AGAGGCCCAAGUUGACAAACCUCGGCAUAAAAAGUGGUUAAUACAGUAUUUCACUAAAGUCAAACACCUUCAAAGCAGUCAUACGCUCCUGAAGGCAGGAAGGCCUUCCACGAAAGUGACUUUAAACAAUAUAACCCCACGAAAGCUAGGAGACAAACUGGGAUUAGAUACCCCACUAUGCCUAGCCUUAAACACAAGUAGUAGUAUACAUCAUUGCUUGCCAGGGAACUACGAGCCCCAGCUUAAAACCCAAAGGACUUGGCGGUGCUUUAGACCCACCUAGAGGAGCCUGUUCUAGAACCGAUAACCCCCGUUAAACCUCACCCUCUCUUGUUUUUCCCGCCUAUAUACCACCGUCGUCAGCUUACCCCAUGAGGGUUUAAUAGUAAGCACAAUUGGCAUAACCCAAAACGCCAGGUCGAGGUGUAGCGUACGAGAGGGGAAGAAAUGGGCUACAUUCACUGACCCAGUAAACACGAAUAAUGCCUUGAAACAGACAUUUGAAGGAGGAUUUAGCAGUAAGGAGGAAUAAGAGUGCCCUCCUGAAACUGGCCCUGAAGCGCGCACACACCGCCCGUCACUCUCCCCAAACUAAACAAAUUGAUAAAUAAACAACAAAUUAAAUAAAGGGGAGGCAAGUCGUAACAUGGUAAGUGUACCGGAAGGUGCACUUGGAAAAAUCAGAACGUAGCUAAAC
rnacentral:rRNA from 1 species